rnacentral:rRNA from 1 species
AAACCAACCGGGAUUGCCUUAGUAACGGCGAGUGAAGCGGCAAAAGCUCAAAUUUGAAAUCUGGUACCUUCGGUGCCCGAGUUGUAAUUUGGAGAGGGCAACUUUGGGGCCGUUCCUUGUCUAUGUUCCUUGGAACAGGACGUCAUAAAGGGUGAGAAUCCCGUGUGGCGAGGAGUGCGGUUCUUUGUAAAGUGCCUUCGAAGAGUCGAGUUGUUUGGGAAUGCAGCUCUAAGUGGGUGGUAAAUUCCAUCUAAAGCUAAAUAUUGGCGAGAGACCGAUAGCGAACAAGUACAGUGAUGGAAAGAUGAAAAGAACUUUGAAAAGAGAGUGAAAAAGUACGUGAAAUUGUUGAAAGGGAAGGGCAUUUGAUCAGACAUGGUGUUUUGUGCCCUCUGCUCCUUGUGGGUAGGGGAAUCUCGCAUUUCACUGGGCCAGCAUCAGUUUUGGUGGCAGGAUAAAUCCAUAGGAAUGUAGCUUGCCUCGGUAAGUAUUAUAGCCUGUGGGAAUACUGCCAGCUGGGACUGAGGACUGCGACGUAAGUCAAGGAUGCUGGCAUAAUGGUUAUAUGCCGC